rnacentral:rRNA from 1 species
CCUACGGGUGGCAGCAGUGAGGAAUAUUGGGCAAUGGACGAGAGUCUGAACCAGCCAAGUAGCGUGAAGGAUGACUGCCCUAUGGUUUGUAAACUUCUUUUAUAUGGGAAUAAAAUGUUACACGAGUGGGAUUUUGUAUGUACCAUAUGAAUGAGGCACGGCUAACUCAGUUCCAGCGGCCGCGGUAAUACGGAGGAUCGGAGCGUUAUCCGGAUUGAUUGGGGUUAAAGGGAGCGUAGGUGGAUUGUUAAGUCAGUUGUGAAAGUUUGCGGCUCAACCGGAAAAUUGCAUUUGAAACUGGCAGUCUUGAGUGCAGUAGAGGUGGGCGGAAUUCGUGGUGUAGCGGUGAAAUGCUUAGAUAUCACGAAGAACUCCGAUUGCGAAGGCAGUUCACUGGACUGCAACUGACACUGAGGCUCGAAAGUGUGGGUAUCAAACAGGAUUAGAUACCCGAGUAGUC